rnacentral:sRNA from 1 species
AGCCCAUGAGUGGUUACCGGAAAAGGGUCUGCAAAUAGCUCAAACCAAUUCUCUGGCCAAGGCCACGAUCAUCCGUUCUGUCUUUGCUGGGGUUGAUAGAGCUGCAAUAUUGUAUUGGGCUCACUGGGUUUUCAAAUCAGGCCGGUGUGAGGUCUUGCAGCCUCUUCUUCAAUUGUCACUUGUUCAGGUUAUUCGAAAACGUCUCUUUCAAGGGCGGAGAAGAAGCUACAACAAGACUACGGAGGUUACGAGUUGUUUUAUAACGCUGGCUGCAGGAGAAAUGGCAGGGUCCAUAUGGGCGACGCAGCUGUGACCUGAGCCCUGUAUCGCU